UUGAAUUUAAACAAAGGGUAUUUAGGUUGUAGCUGGCUCCAUUAGUUUGGAGCAUGUGCACACCUUUUGCUCUUUUUUUAAUCCACACACACCUGUGAACCUGUGAGGCAGAGACAUGGAUGGGAAAACUUUCAUUUGAUUUAAAUAAAUAAAUGAUUGGGACCCCUACCCCCCCUCUGUCUACUCAAAUCUAAUAUAAACCCAAUUUAUUUUAAAAUGAAUGUAAUGGAUGUAACGCAUCUAAUAC
rnacentral:misc_RNA from 1 species